AUUUGAUAGUGUGUACUUGCAAGUGCUUAUUCCUGAAACACAAACUGCUAAAUUCUGGCUAAAAUAUUCAUACGUUGACCAUAACUUUGCUGAAUUUCUAAAUCCAAAAACAUAUUGGUCUGGAGUUUGUAUUUUAUUUUUCAAAGUACAGUUUAAAGGACAACUUAAAACAGACCACAUCAUCUCAAUAAAGCAGUCUGGGAGCAGUGGUCCUGUAG